CGGGUGCUGAAACAAAAAUUCUAAUGCGAUAACUAAAUUUCUAGUGGAUACUGUGGUCCCACCGCUGCUGUGCACCUCACCUAACAAUUAUUAGUAACAUGAAUGAACAUCGAUGCAUGGACAAUUCUUUGCCUAGAUGCUUCUCUAAGCAUGUUGCAGCCACUUGGUCUCUAAAUCAUGUAGGCUCACCUAAUAGUUAUUGCCCACACUUCUUAGUUAAGUCAGACCCAUCAUUUACAAGCAAGUGCAAAGCAAUCAUUGGAUCUCUCACCU
rnacentral:lncRNA from 1 species